AUUGAACGCUGGCGGCAGGCCUAACACAUGCAAGUCGAACGAGUGGCGGACGGGUGAGUAAUGUCUGGGAAACUGCCUGCUGGCGGGGGAUAACUACUGGAAACGGUAGCUAAUACCGCAUACCAUCGGAUGUGCCCAGACGGGAUUAGCUAGUAGGUGGGGUAACGGCUCACCUAGGCGACGAUCCCUAGCUGGUCUGAGAGGAUGACCAGCCAAACGUGAACUGAACCACGGUCCAGACUCCUACGGGAGGAAGCAGAGGGGAAUAUUGCACAAUGGGGGCAAGCCUGAUGCAGCCAUGCCGCGUGUAGGAAGAAGGCCUUCGGGUUGUAAAGUACUUUCAGCGGGGAGGCGUUACCCGCAGAAGAAGCACCGGCUAACUCCGUGCCAGGAGCCGCGGUAAUUC
rnacentral:rRNA from 1 species